rnacentral:rRNA from 1 species
UAUAGGAUUCUUGAUUAGGUGUGCAAUACCACAUAUACUUGAUACCAUAAGAACUUGAAAGUCAAGCAUACUUGUGUAAGAGUAGUACUAAGAUGAGUGACCUCCUAAUAAGUCCUUAAUGCGGUAC